GCUGAAAUAGCUCAGUAGGGAGAGCAUUAGACUGAAGCUCUAAAAGGCCCUGGAUCAAUCCCAGGUUUCAGCA